ACCAUUUUUCUUAAAUAGCGGUUUUGUGUGCUGUUUUUCAUAGAAGUCGCUUCCUAAUUUUUGCUUGUCUUUACUUCGUGUUCUAGCACAAGUUCUAAACUUUUCUAAGUACGCCUCUCGGUUACCAAAUAGUAUUCUAACACAUUUCUUCUGAGUGAUAAAUAUUGGUUCAAGCCUGUUGUUACUAAGGCCACCCCAUACUGAUAUCCCAAAUCGCAAGUGUGAUUCAAAUAGUGUGUAGUACAGUUCUUUGUAGAGUUUUUCUGGAAUAAUGUGCCGUAUUCUACAAAUUUUCCCACUUUCACAUUUCAGCUUUGUGUUGAGCGACCGUAUAUGAGCAUCCCAUUUAAGCUGAUCAUCAAUAAUAACACCAAGAAACUUCACCUUUUUGACUUGCUUUAUUACUACAUUGUUUAGAGUCAAUUCUGCUAGAGUCCAAGUUUCUAUCAAAGAUUUGGAAGAUGGGUGAGUGGUGUGAUAUACGGUCAGUCAGUAUUCCAGAAGCUACUAUACUCUCUACGUCGUAACUACACUUGGGGAGACUGUCAAGGAUGUCAGAGAGUUCAGAUAGUGCAACAUUGACAUUACCACUUGGAGGACGGUACAUUACACCAACUGUUACUGGGGAAGUUGUACUACUUACGGCCACAAAAAGAGUUUCUAAAUGUUCAGUGAUAUGGGAUACAUUGCCGUUUACUCUGGCACUAAGAGUGUCACAAACAUAGAGAGCCACUCCAGUGCCCUUUUUUUUAUCUGGUAUUGUGUUUUGGUAGAAACUGUUGUAUCCAGUUAAUUGAUACAAACUGCUGGAUUCAGGACCUUCAUUUGU